AGAGUUUGAUCCUGGCUCAGGACGAACGCUGGCGGCGUGCUUAAUACAUGCAAGUCGAGCGCUAAAGUCUCUUCGGAGAUGAUUAAAGCGGCGGACGGGUGAGUAACUCGUAGAUAAUCUGCCCUUGAGCCCGAGAUAACCCUGGGAAACUGGGGCUAAUACCGGAUGACGCACAAUUUUUGGAUAGAUUGUGUUAAAGUGGCGCAAGUCACACUUGGGGAUGAGUCUGCGACCUAUCAGCUAGUUGGUUGGGUAAUGGCUAACCAAGGCAAUGACGGGUAGCUGGUCUGAGAGGAUGAUCAGCCACACUGGGACUGAGACACGGCCCAGACUCCUACGGGAGGCAGCAGUAGGGAAUAUUGCGCAAUGGGGGGAACCCUGACGCAGCGACGCCGCGUGAGUGAUGAAGGCCUUUCUGGUUGUAAAGCUCUGUAUAGAGGGAAGAAUGUCAGGUGUUAACAAGCCUGAGUGACGGUACCUCUGAAGUAAGGACCGGCUAAAUACGUGCCAGCAGCCGCGGUAAUACGUAUGGUCCUAGCGUUGUCCGGAAUUACUGGGCGUAAAGGGUGCGCAGGCUGAUAAUCGUGUCAGGUGUGAAAUCCCCCGGCUUAACCGGGGCAUUGCGCUUGAAACUGGUUGUCUAGAGCAUGUCAGGGGUAAGCGGAAUUCCCGGAGUAGCGGUGAAAUGCGUAGAUAUCGGGAAGAACACCGGUGGCGAAGGCGGCUUACUGGGACAUUGCUGACGCUGAGGCACGAAAGCGUGGGUAGCGAACGGGGAUUAGAUACCCCGGUAGUCCACGCCGUAAACGAUGGAUACUGGAUGUCAGU
rnacentral:rRNA from 1 species